rnacentral:tRNA from 1 species
GUAGCUCAAUUGGCAGAGUAGGUGGCUGUUAACCACUUGGUUGUUGGUUCGAAUCCAACC